GAGGGCGCUGGUGAUUGGCUGCGGCCCUGGAGCGUGUGGAAACGUAAUGACGUCACAUCCGGCAUUCUUGAACCUGAACGUGACGGUUGAUCUCCGAGAGGCUUGUUUGGUGUAGAAGUUGGUUCGAUUUAAGCUAAGUAGCUAAAGUAAAGUUGAAGUAAAGUGUUUUUAUUUGUGAUACUGGUUGGAAGAAACGCAUUUCUGAUGUGGGGAACUCAUUUUGGAUUUAAAUAAUGUCAUAGUGAGGAGAACAGAGCAGUUUUAAUGAGCUAACACCUGCUGCUCAAGUGGAUUUUAAAUUUUGAAUAUUAACGGCUGCAAUUAGAUUUCGAAUUUUGAAUAUUAACGGCUGUUGUCGCCCGAACCAGCACUUCAGGAUCCAGAAGGCCCUGACACAACAAGCCAACGGUCGUCCGUCGGACAGCUAGGGGCCUAAGUGCAAAGGAUUUUAUCGGAAGAGCAGGAUGAUGGAUAAGGUCUAUUCCCAGGAUCCCCUGCCCAGGGAACGUAUCAUCAGUGUCAGACUUUGAUAGCAACUCAAGGUGAUAGGUGUCAAGGGCUAAAGCAUCAGAGGGAGGAAGGAGGUGUGGGAUCAGAGCAAUAAUGGUAACCUCAUCAUGACUGAGUCUGCCUGUGGCUCAUCGUGGCCUCUCUCUGUGGCCGGACAUCGCUUAGCUGUGGACUUUAUACACUUUAUACAAGAG